CUGCGAGAUACAGAAGGACUUCUGCUUCAAUGACGGGAGGUGUGACAUCAUCCCUGGCCAGGGGGCCUUCUGCAGGUGUCGGAUGGGGGGGAGCUGGUGGUCCUGGGGUAAGCACUGUGAGCAAUACAUGUCAGAGCCCCUGGUGAUGGGAAUCGCCAUCGUCUCCAUGUUCGGGCUCCUGCUGGCCUCCUCCACCGUCUUUUUCUUCCUGGCUCGGACGCUGCGUCACCAGUAUGAAAAGAUGGAGGUGGAGGAUCCCCAGAGGUGAGAACGUGUGUCACGUUCACAGGAAAUACAUGUUUAGAGGUUCAUUCCUGCUCAUGAAGACCUUUUCUUGUACCCUUGGCCACCGACUUGGCAAAAUUUCUGAACAGUGACAUGGAAAUGAAAUAAUAUCCAUAUUUUAUUCCUGCUUUGUCUUCAAAUAAAGUUUUUAGUGGAAAGGAUUGAUGAGUCUAGUGGCCUCCUGCCCUCACAGACUAUCGUAUGACAUGAAUGAUGGGUAAGAUGCUUACUGCAGCUGUAAGCCGCACCGUUAUGUAAUGUCAUUUUGUCGAGCCGUCUGGGUUUGGCUUUCACGUGACUUACUACUGUUAGUAUGCUCUAACUACGACCUUCUUAUGAACUAAAUAACUUCUAAUUCUGCUGCACACCAAGUACCUUAACAGCUGUAAAUUGAUACAUGUUAAGGUUACUGUUAUGUAAAGGGAAUAAUAAGGGUAAUGACUGACUGAUCUGAAGUUUUUUCAUCUGCUGGACUUUUUUCGUUGUGGCACCCUGGCAGAUUGCUGGGGCACAUAUGUCACUUGUCUGUGUGUAGAGGUGUGUUUUCCUGCCCUUGUGUCCCCCUCUUACCAUCGCUCUUUCAUACUGCGGUAUCCGGACUUUGUGUCACGGAGCAGUGCAUUUUCUUUUCACUCGUAGGGAAAGCAUGUUAUCCAUUGAUGGGCUCAUGAAGUAUAACCCUGUGUAUGAGAGUGACAUUGGCACAGGGGGCAGCCACUACUACCAGAACUUUUAUGAGCACUGUGAGGUUCCUGUUCAGGUAAGCCCACUGUCUGUGAAGUCCCUGUUCAUGUAACCCCAUUGGCUGUGAAGUCUCUGUUCAGGUAACCCCAUUGGCUGUGAAGUCUCUGUUCAGGUAACCCCAUUGGCUGUGAAGUCUCUGUUCAGGUAACCCCAUUGGCUGUGAAGUCCCUGUACAGGUAAGCCCACUGGCUGUGAAGUCCCUGUUCAGGUAAGACCCCUGACUCAUGCUGAGCUGUGUAAAGAGCCUGUUAAGCCCCACACUGCAGAAAGGUGAAUGGAAGGUUUUAACUCGUUCGGCAUAAUCCUAUACCAUAGUACUCAUAUCAGUUGCUGAACACCUUUAAUCUUCAAGUUUUUACUACUUGUCUAGAAGAGUAUUACAGAUUGGGUGUGUGUAUAUAUUUAUUGAUUGAUUUGUGCUUGAUUAAUUUGUGAUUAUUGGCACAGAAUUGUACCAUAUUCAAGUACAAGUGGACAGAAAACCAUUUAGCAAACAGCAAUAAUACAGCAUUCAUUCAUUCAACAGAAAGAGGACCACACAGUUCUCACAUCAAAGGCCUGACCUUUUCCCCUUCUGUUCUUGUAGGACUUUCCUGUACACCAUUCCUAAACCUCUGUGUUCUCCUCAUCCCUGCAGGAAAUUCAGGGUCAGCUACAGAUACUCAAGAUGUACACUAAGGACUGCCAGUUUACAGAAUUGACAGAGUGCCAGGAGUGAGUCUACUGUCACAGUGAAGUGAUGAGACUUUGAGGAGCGGGAACGGGGGGGGGACAGAGGAGGAGGCUGCAGGGUCAGACUGAUUCACAUUUUUCACCUGCCAGGAGGCUACAGACAAGUGGGUACAGUAUGUGGUUCAUAGGUUAGGACCCUGUGCCUAUGAUCAGAAGGUUGCUGGUUCAGAUAUCAUGGUCGGCUGAAUAGUUUCACUUCAAGUCCCUUGAGCACUGUCCCUCACUUCAGCUUCUCCAGGGAUGGGCAGCUCUGCUUUAUGAAUCGUAUAUUGCUUUGGAUGAAAAAGUAAAUGCACAGAUAUAGACGAAGGGUAAAGUGUCAGCCUUGAUAUAUAUCUCCUCUCUCUUUACCCGGACUAGAAAAUAUGUGUCUGUUUUUCCAUUCUCUACUCCUGCUGCAUGUGCAGAAACCAAAAAGAAUAAAAUAUCAAAAGAAAAUUAGGGGCAAAGGCAUUUAUGCCUCAGGUUAUUUAGGGAUAAUAAUAGGAUGGACCUGAAAUUCUGAAAUGGUGCGGUGAUGGUUGGAGCAGGACCAAGGACCAUUGCAUUAUGCAGUAAAUAGCAAAACAAAUGUUUAAAUAUUUAAAUAGCUGAACAUGUAUUAAAUUCCGGAGAUUUAUUACUUUUCAGAGUUGCCCACCAAACAUUACCUCUUGCUCUUGGCACUGGUUGGUUGUGUUUUCUUUGUUUCAGUUUUAUGGUUCAAAAACAGGUUCGGUGCUGGGCUGGCUUGAUUUGGGAGGGCAGGCAGAAAUUUUGGUUGGGCAUAAACCUUGUUUUCUGACCCAUUCCCAUUUGUGGAAAAAGCAAUCCUUAUAGUUUUACAUUUUUUCCUUUUACAGCAUUUUAUAGGAGAUUUAUAUGACCAAACUAGCCAAGCGAAACUGAAAUAAAAGGAUUUUUUUGUGAUUGGUUGAACACACCCAGGAGGGGCCCAAUGAAAAUGUCACUGAUGUGUGUGUCAUCUUGAAACAUCCCUUCCUUUGACCCGGCCAUGUCCAAAAAGGAGAAACUCAAUUGCCUUUAGCCAUUGAUAUAGUUUAUAUUCUGGACACAUAGCAUUCCAGGCAAAAAUAUCACUAACCCCAGACCUGAGGUUAAUUUCCCCACCAGCUGUAAACAAUGAAAGGGAAAAGCCAGACCUGAAACCAGCGCAGACGGAUUUGGGUCCGAAACUCGGAACAAAGACCAAAAGUGAAUCCAACUAGAAACCCAGAUGAUUUUGGACGGACUUUGAACUCAGACAGGGAAGAAGGAAGAGAGAGACAGGAAGACAAGGGGCGAUAUUUAUGUUCCUACUGUGACCCGCCUCAAGCGCUCAAGUAUUUGGUUCCUCAGGUUGCGUCUGAGGGAACCAAUUCACCAACAGACCAAAUCAGGGAGGCCUUCUUGUUUGCUAACAGGACCCUGAGUGUGCGAAGACAGAGAUGUCCCUUGGAGGCCCACCGCAAACAGCUUUUAUAAGCGUGAGCCACAAGGUGUUUUGUUUUUUUGUUAGAGGUCUAAUUAGUAUCUCCUCGUGUGACUGUUUCUCUUUAGCAUGUUAUGGCAUAAGGAGCAAACCAACUCAGGCAGGAAAGUCCAUUAAAUUCAGUUUACACUACCUUUCAUUUGUUCAUCACUCAUGUAAAACAGGCUAUUCAUAUAAUGAAAAAGUUUCAACUAAAUGCAAAUAUUAUAAUCAUAACAACUUGAUUCAUUCUUACUUUCAAAUUCCAUUGUUUUCUUUGUGCCAAGAUGUCAACCUGUUUUACUGUAGUGAAAUAAUCAUCUUAAUUACUACCGACCUGUUUACACUAAUCUCACAGUGGUAUCUGAGCUGGAUAUUCUGUACAACUUAAUUAAUUCCACAAGAACAGGAGGGACGGUGAAUGGACAGGAGAGGACUUUCUUAAACAUCACCAUCUCCCUCUUCAGUGCCACUUACAAAGGGCCUUGUGAUUUAAAUUUAAAAUUUAUCUUUGGAAGAGUAUGGAGCAAUUCUGAAAGUGAAGGAUAUUUAGUUUAAUUUUGAUUCUUACUUUUUCAUCGAGAUAUCUAGAUACUUAUUUUUUUUUUACAGUCAGUAGUUUAUUUUCACAAAGCUUCAGUAAAUCAUUCGACCGCGUUCCUCACUGUACGUGUCUGUGAAAUUCAUCCACCUGAUGUCUGGGACUUUGGUUCACGUUGUUCCCAGUUGAAGGAUGGGGAACCAGUGCCCUGAGCAACCACCUCCCCCCACUAAAUUCUUUGUUACUGUGUUGUCAGCGCCUUUCCUGAGUCUUCAUUUGUCCACUAAAGUUAUGGGGCAAUCAAACCUUGUUCUCAUGGGCAACCCUAAAAAUUGGAGACGUUUGUCAUGCCUCAGGGUACCUACAAGCAAAAUAAUUUAUGGUCUCAUCAUGACAGGAAUUGUAAUGCUUGUUAAAUUCUGAUUGUAACGUUCAAAAUACUGGCCGUCCCUGGGUUUAGAACGUCCAACCUAUGGACAACUCCUAUUUACAAACGGACUGCCGCGAAGCCUAUUAUAUUGGAAAUUUGGGUUAGAUAGAAUGGUUCAUAAUAAUGAAUGCAUGCACUCCUUUGUGGUGCUGAUGAGAAGCUUCAGUGGUUCGUCGGCUUGGGGUGCAGUACAGUACUGUAUCUAGGUACUUUUAUUACUAUUAUUAUUAUUAUUCUGUACUGUAUUAUUGUUCCAACUUACUUACAAAUUUGACUUAAAGACAGACUUAGGGAGCAGAUUUUGUUUGUAACCUGGGGGCUGCCUGUGGUUAUCUUUAAUAAUUAGUAGUUAAUUAUUUAAUGUAGAGUGGUAUACGAUAUAAUUCUGCUGUUAUCUGCAGCUGUGAAAAUGAGGAAAAUGUCACACGAAUGUCCGUUAGAAAUUUUCUUUAGAUGUGAUUAAUUGCUUUGAUUAUUGUCCUUAUUCAUUUUCUUGCAUGAAUGAGCUGAAUGGCCAUUAGCUUUUUCGCUGUGGUUUUGGAAGCUGAAUUGCUAAGCAAAAAGCAUAAACACAACAUCUCCCUCCUUCCAGCGUUUGCCAGAUGUUGAAGUCUGUUCACGACUGGAUGUUCAUGACUGGCAGAUCUGGUGCAGGUCCAACUUUCUGUCUUGCAAACCUGCCAUGUGUUUCUCUUGUUUUCGGUGUCAGUUUACAUUUUACAAAUGCAGACAAAAGCGAUGAUGAAACAAGCCAAAUAAUCAGACGCCCUUUGAAUUAAAACAUUUGUGCUUUCCCUUGUCUGCAUAAUCUCAGUCAGGAACCUUUCCACUGGGAAACAUUUCGUUUGUUUAUUUGAGGUGAAUGAUUAUUGCUGAGCUCUGCCUCGUCUCAGGAAGGUGAAUAUCACGGUUUACGAAAAAAGGUCCAACGGAGAGAUCAUUUCAGCCGCUCCCGACUUGUGAAUGUUAGCUCUCUCAUGUUUUUGGAACAUGUGCAUGUUAACAUUUUGACAUAUGAACGGAACUUCUUAAUGUGAAAGCGUGCAGAGAUAUCCAAAGCCCAUGUGUUAUCAUACAUCAUAAUCCAUGUUUUAGCCUGUUGACAAUAUAUGUCCUUCAACGAGAACUUUCACAUCUUCCUUAAAGCCAGAUGUUCACUGUAAUGUAUUUCAUAAAUGUGCCCCUUUUCCCUGUACAUUAAAUAGUAAUUUAAAAACA